GAUGAAGAACGUAGCGAAAUGCGAUAAGUAGUGUGAAUUGCAGAAUUCAGUGAAUCAUCGAAUCUUUGAACGCACAUUGCGCCCCUUGGUAUUCCAUGGGGCAUGCCUGUUCGAGCGUCAUUUGUACCCUCAAGCUAUGCUUGGUGUUGGGUGUUUGUCCUCUCCUUUGCGAUUGGACUCGCCUUAAAGACAUUGGCGGCCAGUGUAUUGGUCUUGAAGCGCAGCACAUUUUGCGAUUCUUGCUGAUAAUCACUAGCGUCCAGUAAGCCUAUUUUAACACUUUUGACCUCGGAUCAGGUAGGGAUACCCGCUGAACUUAAGCAUAUCAAUAAGCGGAGGA
rnacentral:misc_RNA from 1 species